GUGGUGGGAGGGAGAGCCACAGGAGCCAGCCGUGCCACACAGGAUCCACAGAGCCCCUCAGCAUCAGCAGGGCUGUCCCUAUCCUCUGCAGGUACAUAUGCCUUGCACAUUAAGGAGACGAGUUCCCCGGCUCAGGAAAAUGCCCCAGGACUGCACAAAGACCCCGUGUCAGGCCCGAGGGAUACAGCCGGGAGCUGAUAGAGACCCGCCUCUGUGGAGCUCACCAUUGCUACCUUCUACAUUCGGACACGACAUCCCUUUAGCCAAGGAGCAGGAGAAUGGAUGGGACUUGAGGGUGGCAGCAGAAAGAUGAGGACACUGAGGCUUCGAGAAGUUAAGAGCAUUGUCCACGGUCCCAAAACUCGUAGUGAAAGAACUGGAAUACAAACCCAGAGCGAUGAAUCAAUUAAUGACCGAGGCACAGACAGUCCCCUGACCGGCACCACUGUCAUCCUGGAGAGUGUCCAUGAAGGCCUUUCCAAGAGCCCUGAUAAGUAGGGAGACGCCCCGAGCGAGCUGAGCCAGCCGAGCCGGGAGUGGCAAACGGGAGCCCGAACGCGAGGACGCCUGAGCGCGCGCCGGAGCAGGCGCUGGAGCCGGGGCCGGAGCCGCGCGGGGCUCAGCGUGCCGAGCGGCGGGAACGCGAACCCGCGUGGGCGCUCGGCCAGGACCGGGACCUGGGCCCGGGCCCGGGCCUGACGCGAGGUGGGGCGACAGCGGGGCUCUCGAGCGCCUAGGGACUAGGUAGGGGCGGGGAAGUAGGAGCAGCGCCCCCCCCCCCAAUCCCCUCCCGGGCCGGCCCCGAGUUAGCCUCACCCACCAGAGGUCAGAGAACUUGAACGGAUUAUACAGCUGACCCCUGCACCCCCACCCCUACCCCCGCUAUAUAAUUCAGCGCUACACCCUACAAUAAAUGUCAGCAAGUUUUUAUUUUCCCCAUGAUAACUGCUUUGAUGCUUUUUUUGACAUCUCAAAUAUCCUGACUUUUUUUUUUUUUCUUCCUGUAAUUUUUAAUUUUUUUUUUCGGGGACCUCUGCUGUGCGCGUGCCCCCU